GCAGCCUCCCCAAGGGAUUGAUUCCUUCCUCAGCAACAGUUGCUCAGAGUUGAGCACAGGAACUUGCCUUUUUCCAAGUAGCAGACACAGGCCGAGGCACAGAGUGGGGCUGAGGAAAUGUGCCGUGAAUGGAUGGUGAACAGGAAGGGACACUGAAGAAGGAGGCGGUACUGAGAGCAGCCAUCUUGGAGCUUGGAAACGGAGACGCAUGUGAAGCCGUUUGCACAGUAUUUUUCCCUUAAAAUAUGGGUGGGGAACAAGGGGCUGUCAUUUGUCUUUUUCUUUGGGAUGGUGAGCAGUGAGCAGGGCACGCCGCGAGGAGCAAACUGCAGCCCAAGCACACGCGGUCAGCACGCGGAGCACAGGUGGGGAGAAGCGGCUGACGGUGGCGUGGCCCCGCGUACCUGGGUGUGGACGCCCCGCCGCCCCGCAGGGGAAAGCUCCUGGAGUCUGGGGUCUGCUGCCCCGAGCUCUGGGUGUCCAGGGAAGAUCAGGCCAAUUUCGUGGUCUCUCAGACGUCGGUAAACAAGAGGCCUUGGCUCCUCAGGAGACCGAGAGUCUCUCACUGUACUUCCUUCUCUUGGCUCCAAGGACAUAGAACGGUUGCUAUGGGGAUUCCUUCAUUUGUAAAGACAAUCAUGCUGGCUGUUAGUGAAGAAUGGCCUGGAGCACUGGGUCUCCGCCCCAGCUGCCUGGGAGAAACUGUGUUGAAGGAGCCAUACCCCCUGGCCUCCCCUCCAGACUCCAGACAACCCCAGUCAGCUGGCUGGGAGGGAGGCAGAAGAGAAACAGGGGUGCACCUGGGGCUCCUGCAGGGGUCCAGCCAGGAGAUGGGGGCAACUUGGACAGGGACGGUCCUGGGAAGGGCAGGAGGAGGAGUGAGACCUGGCCUGCCCUCUCCCUAGAGGCUCAUCAGCUCCCUGGAGACAGACACGCCCUGGGUCCUUUCCCUAUGCCUGGAGCCUGGGUACCAGCUAUUGAAAACUGCUUUUCUCCUUGUUCAUUCAAACAUAUUCACACAUAAAGGUUGUCAUUCCUUUUUGUCACUAUUUGACAAAAAUUGGAUCAUACCGUAUACAAUUCUCUGCUAUUUGUUUUGCUCACCUA
rnacentral:lncRNA from 10 species